AGUGAACGCUGGCGGUAGGCCUUACACAUGCAAGUCGAACGGCAGCACGGGAGCAAUCCUGGUGGCGAGUGGCGAACGGGUGAGUAAUAUAUCGGAACGUGCCCAGUAGUGGGGGAUAACUGCUCGAAAGAGCAGCUAAUACCGCAUACGACCUGAGGGUGAAAGGGGGGGAUCGCAAGACCUCUCGCUAUUGGAGCGGCCGAUAUCAGAUUAGCUAGUUGGUGGGGUAAAGGCCUACCAAGGCAACGAUCUGUAGUUGGUCUGAGAGGACGACCAGCCACACUGGGACUGAGACACGGCCCAGACGCCUACGGGAGGCAGCAGUGGCGAAUUUUGGACAAUGGGCGCAAGCAUGAUCCAGCAAUGCCGCGUGCAGGAAGAAGGCCUUCGGGUUGUAAACUGCUUUUGUCAGGGAAGAAAUCCUCUAGGUUAAUACCCUUGGGGGGAUGACGGUACCUGAAGAAUAAGCACCGGCUAACUACGUGCCAGCCGCCGCGGUAA
rnacentral:rRNA from 1 species